rnacentral:lncRNA from 1 species
UGCUGGGAUUACAGGUGUGAGCCACCAUGCCCGGCCUAUGCAGACAUCUCUUACAGAGCUUCCAUUGUGUUCUUCCUAGAACACUUUCGCUGUCUUACUCUCUUGCUCUGCUGCCUUCAAUGGCUCCCUAUGACCCACAGUGGCACUUCACAAGGUGUAGAAUUGAGAGCUGCCCCUUAGGGAAUGCUAUAGUCUGUAGCUCUCCUUUUGGAGAAUCACAUCUGGACGUGUGAAUACAAGAGGCCCUGCAGGAGAGAAACCUGUUUAAGUGAGCUUAAUCCAGUCUGUUGGACCUGAAACUCUUGGCUCACCUAACACUUAUUAAAGUCUUGUGGAACACACUGGAAAAUGUUGGACCACAGAGUACAGGCUAAAGUUUCUAUCUGAAUUCCAGCCCUUCUACAUUUCAGUCUACUCUCAAUUUCCUUUCUUGUGACUUCUUGUCAACAGACCAACCCCCACCCCCAAUACCUAUUUCUCCCUCCAGCCUUCACACUCUUGUAGUUUAAGAAUGAGAUAAUCUUGUAGCUGCUGGGAGUUUCCAUGAAGGGGGACUGGCCCAGGAAUGAGGUCAACCAGAGAAAAGUAGAGCCCUGAGAGAGGGACUAGGUCCUGAAGACUUCAUUUAAGACACAGGAUCCAGCCUUGCUUGAUGUCAUUACUCCUAGACUUUCACGUACAAGAGCCAAAAAAUUGUCUUUUCUUCCCCCUUAACCCAGGGCUCCUGCAACCAAAAGAACACUUGACUGUGGCAUCUUUCCAGCCUCCUGUUAGCAGCUAGGUAAGGUGCCCCCAUGGCAAGGAGCUGCGGGCAGCCUCAAGAAACUGGGUGGCCUCUUAGGACCUGAGGGCAGCCUCCAACAAGCAAGCAGCAAACCUCUGGGGCCUUCUGUUCUACAACUGCAAGGAAAUAAAUUCUGCCAACAGCCUGAAUGAGCACGGAAGUGAACUCUUUCUCAGUCGAGCCUCUGAAUGAGAACACAGUUCAACUCAUGCCUUGACUGCAGCUUGUGAGAGUCUGAGAAGAGGACCAGGAGCAACUCUAGUUGACUCUCCACUCCCACGCUGCAGGAAUUGACGGCGCACAGGGAACAGUUUCUACUGCUGUCCUUCCCGUUACCUCCUCCAAUGGGGCUUCAGUCACCACCUCUCUGGAAGGUGAUGAUGGUCGGCAGCUCCAUAUCGCCAGCCGUGACUCUGCCCUGAAAUCUAGCCCAAGGGAGCCAACUGCCUGUUUUGUCAGGUAACACCGACAAAAAUAGCAGCCAUUUGUUGAGCUCACACUAUGUGUCAAGGACUGUGCUCAGUAGAUUCUAUUACUGAUCUAUUUUAUAGAUGAGGAAACUGAGGCUGAGAGAUCAAGGAGGUGGCCAAGGUUACAGAGCUAGUGAGAUGGGGAGCAGGAGUCAAACUGUGGGUUGUCUGACUUCACUGCCCAGGCUUCUCAUGCUGUGCUAGAGCUGACUCUAGUGAGCUGACCUCAGCCCUCCCGUGCCAAGAUCCUUGGCCUGGUUCCUCUGACUUCAUCAACCUCUGGCCCCUGUGUCCUCUCUCUUACAGUACUCACCCCUCAUCCUGCCCUGCCCAGCCCCUGCCUGCUGCUCUGGCCUGACCAACUUGCUCUCAGUGCCCUGAGUGCCAGCAAGGCCUCUCUCCUCUGGCCUUUGUGUAAGCAGAUCUUUCUACCUAGAACACUGUUGCCCUCUUUUUGCCUGGCUUCUUCCUUCAGGACUCUGCUUAGAUGGCACCUCCUCCAGGAAGCCUUCCCUGAUAUUCCCCUCCCUAGGAUUGGGUACCCUAGGGCCAU